rnacentral:lncRNA from 1 species
GAGCCGACGAGCUGCCCCGGGCGUCCCACCUCGCGGCCGCGGGCUGACGGCGCCCUGCCCAGACCUGCGCUGCCGAGUCCGUCCGUGCCCGAUAAAUGAGCCUGUAGAGGUACGUAUUACACACUGCUCCAGAAGAGAUUCUCACUUAUCCGAAUGUUUUUUCCACUGGAAAGAUGUACUGAACCUUCUGGCAAGCUGGCUCUUCCUUACUUCUCUAUCUGCAAUCGGUGGUUGUGUUUCCCUUUUCUAAUGACAGCACAGCUACAGUCCAUCUACAGCAAAAACCACAGGGAAAAAAAAAACCAGCUCCAGUAAUUUCUUAAGUGACAAAUCCCACAGGAUAGUACUUAUAUCACUGUGUGCAUUGAGCCUUCUCAUUGUGAUGGGCUAAAAUUCAUUAAGUAUUAAUGCUGCCUGGUGUGAGAAACAUACAAAUCAUCUGGGUGUCAAAUAGCAAUCGGGCACCCAAAUAACAGCGGGGAGCUGAUACAAGUACUCUACAAAUGCAAAAGGUUUGCAUCUGCCAAAUGAAGACAAGAAGGGACAGCAAGUGAGCGUCACACUCAACUCCUGCCAUCCCUCAUUCAGUUCGCAUGUACGUGUAAUGAAAUCAUACCCAAGGCAGGGCAGUUGUGCAGCAACGCAUAGGGAUUUGCUGCGGCAUCCCCAACACACUGAUUGGCCCCAAACUUACCUCUGCAACAGCAUCUGCGCGAUGAAAACACUUUGGGCGCUCCAUGGGGUGAGCUCGCUGGGUCUGUGCCUUUUGCUGCAUUUGCCGCAGUGUUGGGGUGAGGAGUUUGCCCUGUCCUUCAUCGUUAGAUGCACCUGCUGAUGGCACAGUGGGCCUCCCCAGUCCUCAGGCUGCCAGGUGCUGGGCAGAGUGGCUUGCUGAGGGCUCAGCUCCCCACCUACCUCUCAUCAUGGAACGGGGGAAGUGCUCAUGGCUGGGAGCAAUUCCGGUGCUUCCUGGCAUUGGUGGUGGUGACACACUACGGGGAAUCACUCUCUAAUUUUAAUCUCUCCCAAAGUGAAAUCCAGCACAGGAGGGAACCAUGCCAUCCCAAUCCUCCUUCCUAAAGUUUCACUCAUUCAGCGCUACAGUAUGAGUUUUGGCUCAGCUUUUUACCUUUCCCUUAACCUUUCUCCAAAGUCUAUCACAUCAGUGGUCUGUGUUUUUUCUUGUAGUGAUGUCACAUUAAGCACAGUUCCAAAGGUUUGGGUAUUAUUUCUUCUUGCAUCCAUGUUUGAAUGGGUAUUUACUUUUCCAAGAAACAUUCAAAGCUGUGGUAACUUAGCAAAGCCAGAGGAUCACACUGAAUGCCGUGUCCCACUGUUGGACACACACAGAGGCUUCUGUUAUAACUGCUGGCAUAUAACAAGAUCACAUGUCGUCAAAAUUCUUACCUCCUUUGUAUAAGCAUCACACAGUAUCACUUUGUGUUGAAGGGAUACGUUCAUUAGUUUUGUUUAUUGGUCAGUCUGGGUUCAUUGAUGGAGUGCUAGUGUUCACAAGUACCUUGUUUUACGUCAUUUGGCUCCUUCUCCAGUUGUGCUUUCCCAGUGGUCAGCCAUAAAUUGUUAGCAGUGUCAGCCAUUAGCUGGUGACAAUAAACGUUCAACUUAGCACUCACCUAAAAUGAAAAACAAAGCAUUACUGUUUGUUAAAAAUAACAGUAGUAAAGAAGAUGACAGCGAUCGCAUUCACGUCUUUCUUCAUGAUCAUCUGUUUUACUGGCACAUCAAAAUAGCAAGAACACCCAUUAUUUAUGAGCUAGAGAAUUCUUCCAGUGCUGAAGGGAUGCACUGAAUCAUUAGAAUUCACAAGUAUUUCCUUUUGUUAAGGAAAUUUGCUGUCUUAUAUCUUGGGCAUAGGAUCCCUUCCCGUGCAAGAAAGUAUGCAGUUAACAUGCUACAUAGGAAAGUGUGCAUGUUAGCAACAGGAAUGUCCCUGUUUUUAUUGUUUUUAUGUCACUGUGCAUUAUUUAAAUGCACUUUCUUUGUAUUUAUGAGAUUUCUUAAAAUGAAGAAGGAAACACCUCUCUGAAAAACACUGUACUGAUGUCUACACUGAAUGACUAUGCAUCUGCAAGGCAAUUAAUAUGCAGUGAAAGUGGUUUAUACGUCAGAUUGAACUUACCCAUUCUUGUGGUGUUAAUUUUACCAACGAUAGCAAUUCUUGACCCAGUAACUUACGUCAUCAAAAAGAAGGGCACAUGCAUUUGCUGUAAAUGGAGGUGUGGAAAUGAUAAGAUUCAACACUGACAAUUCAUGCUAAGAGAUCUGUAAUUUGGGGAGGUAUUUUAUUAUCAUGGUGCAUCAAAACACAGCCACUAGGAAGCUUGGUAACUCACAGAAUCACGAUGCUAUUCAUCAUUCUGUUGUCUCCAGCCUUUCAAAUGCUUGAGCAUGUUCUUCUGAAUAACUCAUUCAUUUCUGUGCUUAAUCGUGAUUUAAGGUUAAUAGUAUCUACCGGUGUGAACAAACAGUAUUUCACGCAUAACCGCUUCUCCUCCAUGAGAUAAUGGCAAUAAACCUUGAGAUUGGCCUAAGUUUCUUAGAGGUAGUCUUGACAAAGUCCCCCUACAACAAAAUAAUCCGAAAACCAAUGAGGGCUGCAGGACAUACCAAGAGGCCUUAAAACUGUAACAAGAUUUAAAAUGACAUAUGGUCCAAUUCCUUAAAUAAAAGGAAAGUAUCUAAAAGUUACAGUGAGACUUACUUGAAUAAAUGUUUAUAAAUUUCAUCAAACAACUCAUCAUUUUGACAGUAUUCCAUAAACCCCUGCAACAUGCAAAGUAUUUAAUUUAUUUGUGGCAAGAUAAAGAUAAUGAGUAACAUUUUAAAAGCUUGUUAACAUAAAAUGUCUUGGCAUGGUCAAACUUGCAUACUUCUGCUGUUUAAACUAUGUUUUCUAAGAACUCAAAAAGCCAUACAAGAAGGAGUUUCUAACUGCAAAAGUCUUCAAAAUGAUUCUUGUAAUUUGAAUUUGUAUUAAUGCAAGUCAAAUGCACAGAACCUAAUCUGAACUGGAUAUAAAUGGCACCAGAUCUCCAAACUAAAAUAAUAACAAUAACAAUAAUAAUAAUAAUAAUAAUAAUAAAUACAACUGCAGCAUGGAGAGGAAAAUAUCACUACAACCUGGAGAAAAUGAACUGUUAUAGCCUUAUAUCAAGUAUACUAAAAAAAGACAAAAAACGGUAACAGAAAUGGUCACGCAGUCCUAACUAUGGAAGUCCCAGUAGAGGCUACUAAAUAGGCUAUAGGCUAAACAAACACAAUCUAUUGCUAUGUGCCUUUUUGUUACUCAGCUGCUGUAAAUACAGUUUGUCUUCUAUAGAUAAUAAUGGAUAUUUUGUGAGCUAUGUGUUUUUAUGUUAAGUUUACCUUGAACACCUGCUGUGCCUGAGAAAUGAUAAGAGCUAAUUAAAUCACAUAAAGAGCGACACACACAAAAUACUCCUUUGUUUUGCACGAGAGACAAAUGAAACCUGCGUUUUGCCCAGCCACUCUCCUAGCUGAUGACUGCAACAAACAAGGAGCAUUCGAGAAACACCACGUGCCAUGGCAGUCUGAUGCCUGCAGGUGAGGAUGGUCCCUGUACCCUACAACAGCCUCGCGACGUGCUCUAACCACACACACACCUGAAAAAAGGCUUGCUUACUCUGAUGUGAGAUUUUCCCCUCCAGCCAGGAUCCAGUUCUAAAGCAGCUGCCUCUACCACGCACAGGAAGGCAAAAGGUUGUAUGUUUGCUAAAAGCCAAGUUUCCAGCUGCACAUAUCCAGUAAGAUCACCUCGUCUCCCAUUGAAACCCUACCAUGUGAGUUUUCAUGUUGCUGUGCUGUUGUUCCUGCUUUCUUGCAGAAUUUCUCCUUGAGCUUUUCUGAACGUCAGCUGAAGGCUUAAGAGGUGAUGUCUGAGGAACAACCAUAAGUUGCCAAGCUGGAGCUUCCUCUAGUUCAUGUGGCCCUCAUUUACACCCAAAGAGCGAGAGGAGACCAAGGGCCGUUAAUUUUAAGACAUCUAUAAUAAAAAAAGUUAUCUCUUGUCGGCAGUGGCAGGGAAAAAAAGAUAAAAGGUGCUGUGUGGUGCGAUUGCUGGCAGAUGGCACUGUUGGGAGCCCAGAUCUUCGCGGCGCGCAGCAGCAUGGCAGGGAGGGGAUGGGGCUGCUUCCACAAUUAACCUGAACCACAGAUCUGUUUACAGCAAUCUAAUCCAUAUGUGCUAAUAUCUUGCUGCUACACGAGUGAAACUCUCUCUUGGAUUGUUCUCAGAAUGUACUUUCUGCACAUCUGGCUUCAUAUGAACAGGGCAUUUGCUUCUACUGUUCCUGCAAGGAAUACAGCAUACCUUAUUCCAUCUGGAAGCAAAACAAAAGACAGCAUUACAGUGAAAUCCUCAGUAUUGUUAUUUUCCAGAUACAAAGCUCAAGUAAUUUAAGAAUCCUUCCCUUCCCUUCCCUUCCCUUCCCUUCCCUUCCCUUCCCUUCCCUUCCCUUCCCUUCCCUUCCCUUCCCUUCCCUUCCCUUCCCUUCCCUUCCCUUCCCUUCCCUUCCCUUCCCUUCCCUUCCCUUCCCUUCCCUUUCCCCUUUCCUUUCCUUUUUUUCUUCCUUUUUUUUUCUUUUUUUUUUCUUUUUAAAUAAAAUUGUCUGUGCAA